GAGUGAUGGAAAUCGGGAGGAAAGAAAGUUCAUUUAAGUGGAGAAAGAUAUAAGAAGGCCGCCAUGUUUUGUCCUUUCUGUGGCCAACAUCUGGGGACAGUUCAAGUGCUCUGCGGCAAACAUGUACAGUUUGUGGCAGAAGUUGAACACGAACAUAAGGAGGGUCAGGAACUCACGCUUGGGACCACCAGUGUCCCCUCCAUCCUCAGUCGAAUGAGAGGGGUCGAAUGAGGCACCUUUGAAGCUGCGGAUUGCUCCAUCCCACACAUUGGCUCUAUUCAUAUUGACCCUGCUGCAAGAUGUAUUUGUUAUUUUUGCAGAGAGUUCUGCAACAAUGUGCCGCAGUCAGGUAUUCUGUGCUGGGAAAGACAAAGUGAUGUAUUGUAAUAUUAAAUUGCAAUUCUAACAA